rnacentral:lncRNA from 1 species
UACAGCACAUGCGCGGAGUCCAGCCCCAGGCUGGCGGGCAACUGUCUCACCUGCUCACCUCGUGGCUUCGGCGGGCAGCUCCGGGACAUCGGGUCUUGGCGUCUUCACUCCCAGGAGAGCAGAUCCACCGCAUCAAGGGGAGCUGUGAAAACGGAAGGCAGAGCUGAGGAUGCCUGUGCCUGGGCUCUCCUACCGGGUGUCCGUCUCUGCGAGGGGGGAAGACGGGGGAGAGCGGCGCUGCCCCCACCACCUCCCGCGGGAAGGGGACGCUGCAGGUGCCCAUCACCCAGUGAGGGUGGCAUUAGCCUGGUGGCACCACCGAGCCGCCCCGCGACCCGCUGCUCCUGCCCCUGGCGAUCUGACGUUUCAGUUUCUUUCACUUAAAUUUCAAGGGCAGCAGUCACGUGUGGUUACCAGAGCGGACAGCCCAGAAGUAGAGCAUGUCAACCUCACAGACAGUUCCACGGGGCUGUUCUAGAGGGAGCAGGUCCGGGUCUGGGGACCAGGGAGACCCCGUGGAGAGGGGGGGACUCAGGAGCCUGCUCUGUCCAGCUCAGGCCUCUGACCCAUGUCCUCCUGAUGCCUCAUUCCUAGGAGACACAUGGACGCAUUCACAGGAUGGAAACAAUCCCGGCCCGUGGACAGAGCAUGUUUACAUUCUCAUCGGGGUCUCUGCAGCCUUUCUCCUUUGUCUCCUCCUCUUGGUCCUCCUCCUCCUCCAGCGCUGGCAUCAGAGGAAACGGGGGCCCCCCAGAAGCAAAGGCAAGGAGCCAGAGCCCCAGGAGAGGCUCAGCCCAGCUGUUGACGUCCUAGAUGGGACACCAGGUACAGACAAGGGUGGGACAGGUCUGGGAGGGGAAGGGGGCAUUCACUGCCAUCCAGGAAGCCAUGUUCA